rnacentral:rRNA from 1 species
GACAGAGGGUGCAAACGUUGUUCGGAAUUACUGGGCGUAAAGCGCGUGUAGGCGGCAAGGCAAGUCGGUGUGAAAGCCCUGGGCUCAACCCGGGAAGUGCAUUCGAUACUGCUAAGCUAGAGUCCCGGAGAGGAUGGUGGAACUCUCGGUGUAGAGGUGAAAUUCGUAGAUAUCGAGAAGAACACCGGUGGCGAAGGCGGCCAUCUGGACGGUGAC